rnacentral:rRNA from 1 species
UAAGCAUAUCAAUAAGCGGAGGAAAAGAAACCAACAGGGAUUGCCCUAGUAACGGCGAGUGAAGCGGCAACAGCUCAAAUUUGAAAUCUGGCGCAAGCCCGAGUUGUAAUUUGUAGAGGAUGCUUCUAGGUAGCGACCGGUCUAAGUUCCUUGGAACAGGACGUCAUAGAGGGUGAGAAUCCCGUAUGUGACCGGCCCGCACCUUCUACGUAGCUCCUUCGACGAGUCGAGUUGUUUGGGAAUGCAGCUCUAAAUGGGAGGUAAAUUUCUUCUAAAGCUAAAUACCGGCCAGAGACCGAUAGCGCACAAGUAGAGUGAUCGAAAGAUGAAAAGCACUUUGGAAAGAGAGUUAAAAAGCACGUGAAAUUGUUGAAAGGGAAGCGCUUACAACCAGACUUCUGGGCGGUGUUCCGCCGGUCUUUUGACCGGUCUACUCGCCGUCCCGAGGCCAACAUCAUCUGGGACCGCUGGAUAAGACCUCAGGAAUGUAGCUCCCCUCGGGGAGUGUUAUAGCCUGUGGUGAUGCAGCGCGUCUCGGGUGAGGUCCGCGCUUCGGCAAGGAUGUUGGCGUAAUGGUUGUCAGCGGCCCGUCUUGAAACACGGACCAAGGAGUCUAACAUCUAUGCGAGUGUUCGGGUGUCAAACCCCUACGCGUAAUGAAAGUGAACGGAGGUGGGAAGGGCAACCUGCACCAUCGACCGAUCCUGAUGUCCUCGGAUGGAUUUGAGUAAGAGCAUAGCUGUUGGGACCCGAAAGAUGGUGAACUAUGCCUGAAUAGGGUGAAGCCAGAGGAAACUCUGGUGGAGGCUCGCAGCGGUUCUGACGUGCAAAUCGAUCGUCAAAUUUGGGUAUAGGGGCGAAAGACUAAUCGAACCAU